UACAGAGGGUGCUAGCGUUGUUCGGAAUCAUUGGGCGUAAAGGGCGUGUAGGCGGUUUGUUAAGUCAUGUGUGAAAUCCCUCGGCUCAACCGGGGAACGACGCAUGAAACUGGCAAGCUAGAGUACCAAAGAGGGGGGUGGAAUUCCCGGUGUAGCGGUGAGAUGCGUAGAUAUCGGGAGGAACACCUGUGGCGAAGGCGGCCCCCUGGUUGGAUACUGACGCUGAUACGCGAAAGCGUGGGGAGCGAUCCGG
rnacentral:rRNA from 1 species